rnacentral:misc_RNA from 1 species
UGAACAUGUUUCUUUCAUAACUACUAAAAAUAAAUAAAUGAAUGAGCUGAUAUAUUGGGUGGAAAAAUGCACAUCGGAAUUUGCAAGUUUCACAUUUUGGGCUAAUUUGAUGGGAAGUAAACAAGUGUGACGGGAUAUAAUAAAAUAAAAUAAAAUUUUAAUAGAAUAAUUUAUUUUGUUAUAUUACACUAUAUUCAAUUAUAUCUUUCCCAAAAAUGCACUUGUAGAUGUCAGAAAAAUUAAUUACAUUUAGAAAUUUUAAACCUUUCUGCAAGCCUAAAUUGAG